rnacentral:rRNA from 1 species
UCUGGUGUCUUUGACUCCCGAGUUGUAAUCUAGAGAAGUGUUUUCCGUGUCGGACCGUGCACAAGUUCCCUGGAACGGGGCGUCAUGRAGGGUGAGAAUCCCGUAUAUGGCAUGGACUACCGAUGCUUUUGUGAUACACUCUCAACGAGUCGAGUUGUUUGGGAAUGCAGCUCAAAAUGGGUGGUAAAUUCCAUCUAAAGCUAAAUAUUGGCGAGAGACCGAUAGCGAACAAGUACCGUGAGGGAAAGAUGAAAAGCACUUUGGAAAGAGAGUGAAACAGUACGUGAAAUUGUUGAAAGGGAAGCGUUUGAAAUCAGUCGUAUCUGGUGGGAUUCAGCCGGGCUUUUGCCAGGUGUACUUCUCGUCCGAUGGGUCAGCAUCAAUUUUGACCGGGGGAAAAAGACGUGUGGAAUGUGGCUGUCUUCGGGCAGUGUUAUAGCCAUGUGUUGUAUGUCUCGGUUGGGAUUGAGGAACGCAGCGCGCCUAUAGGCCAGGGG